GAGACCCGUGCCCACUGUUACCAGCAUGUCCUCCGGGAUGAUGGGUACUCUGUGGGGACCGCCGGUGUUAAAUCGGAGGAAGGUGCGGGCUACGGUAGGUCAGUAUGCCCCGAAUUUCCCGGGCUACACGCGGGCUACAAUGAAUGGGACAAUGGGUCCCUCCCCUGAAAAGGGCUGGUAAUCUCACAAACCCAUCCUUAGUUCGGAUCGAGGGCUGUAACUCGCCCUCGUGAAGCUGGAAUCCGUAGUAAUCGCGUUUCAAUAUAGCGCGGUGAAUAC
rnacentral:rRNA from 3 species